rnacentral:rRNA from 1 species
AUUGAACGCUGGCGGAAUGCUUUACACAUGCAAGUCGAACGGCAGCACGGACUUCGGUCUGGUGGCGAGUGGCGAACGGGUGAGUAAUAUAUCGGAACGUAUCCAAUAAUGGGGGAUAACUAAUCGAAAGGUUGGCUAAUACCGCAUACGCCUACGGGGAAAGCUAGGGACCUUCGGGCCUGGCGUUAAUGGAGCGGCUGAUAUCUGAUUAGCUAGUUGGUGAGGUAAAGGCUCACCAAGGCGACGAUCAGUAGCUGGUCUGAGAGGACGACCAGCCACACUGGAACUGAGACACGGUCCAGACUCCUACGGGAGGCAGCAGUGGGGAAUUUUGGACAAUGGGCGCAAGCCUGAUCCAGCCAUUCCGCGUGAGUGAAGAAGGCC